CCUACGGGAGGCAGCAGUGAGGAAUAUUGGUCAAUGGGCGGGAGCCUGAACCAGCCAAGUCGCGUGAGGGAAGACGGUCCUAUGGAUUGUAAACCUCUUUAGGCAGGGAGCAAUGCCGGGCACGCGUGCCCGGAGGGAGAGUACCCGCAGAAUAAGCAUCGGCUAACUCCGUGCCAGCAGCCGCGGUAAUACGGAGGAUGCGAGCGUUAUCCGGAUUGAUUGGGUUUAAAGGGUGCGUAGGCGGAUUUUUAAGUCAGCGGUAAAAUGUCCGGGCUCAACCCGGGCCGGCCGUUGAAACUGGGGAUCUUGAGUGGGCGAGAGGUAUGCGGAAUGCGUGGUGUAGCGGUGAAAUGCAUAGAUAUCACGCAGAACUCCGAUUGCGAAGGCAGCAUACCGGCGCCCGACUGACGCUGAGGCACGAAAGCGUGGGGAUCGAACAGGAUUAGAUACCCCGGUAGUC
rnacentral:rRNA from 1 species